CCCUAGCCCCGAUUGGAGAGAAAAUCCUUUUUUGAAAAAAAAGAUUGUAACGGAAAGCGGGAAAUAGC
rnacentral:sRNA from 1 species